CAGAGACUGCAAGCGUUAUUCGGAUUCACUGGGCGUAAAGGGUGCGCAGGCGGCCAAGUGUGUGAGGCGUGAAAGCCCGAAGCUUAACUUCGGAAUUGCACCUCAAACUACAUGGCUAGAGCAUUGGAGAGGGUAGCGGAAUUCACGGUGUAGCAGUGAAAUGCGUAGAUAUCGUGAGGAACACCAGAGGCGAAGGCGGCUACCUGGACAAUUGCUGACGCUCAGGCACGAAAGCGUGGGGAGCAAAAGGGAUUAGAUACCCCUGUAGUCCACGCCCUAAACGGUGCACACUAGGUCUUGGCGGAUUCGACCCCCCCAGGGCCCAAGCUAACGCGUUAAGUGUGCCGCCUGAGGACUACGGCCGCAAGGCUA
rnacentral:rRNA from 1 species